rnacentral:rRNA from 1 species
AACGAACGCUGGCGGCAUGCCUAACACAUGCAAGUCGAACGAGACCUUCGGGUCUAGUGGCGCACGGGUGCGUAACGCGUGGGAACCUGCCCUUAGGUUCGGAAUAACUCCCCGAAAGGGGUGCUGAUACCGGAUAAUGUCUUCGGACCAAAGAUUUAUCGCCUUUGGAUGGGCCCGCGUUGGAUUAGCUAGUUGGUAGGGUAAAAGCCUACCAAGGCGACGAUCCAUAGCUGGUCUGAGAGGAUGAUCAGCCACACUGGGACUGAGACACGGCCCAGACUCCUACGGGAGGUAGCAGUGGGGAAUAUUGGACAAUGGGCGAAAGCCUGAUCCAGCAAUGCCGCGUGAGUGAUGAAGGCCUUAGGGUUGUAAAGCUCUUUUACCCGGGAUGAUAAUGACAGUACCGGGAGAAUAAGCUCCGGCUAACUCCGUG